rnacentral:lncRNA from 1 species
CUUUUGCGCCUCAGCUAUGUUUGUAAUCAUAAACGCCUUCUCUAUUUCCUUGAUCCAUGUCUGGGCCUCGAUUGGGUCCGUCGUUCCUUUAAACUCAGGUGGACCUACACUUUUAAAUUCCUUAAAGGUAGUUGUUCGGGCUACCCUAGGUACUGCAGGUGCUCUACCCCCAGCUUGGUUAAAUCCAGCCGUUAAUAAAUUAACGAACUCUUGCAUAGAGUUAUUAGGACCCCCCCUGAUUAUUAUUAUGUGAUUCUGCCUCUUGGUUACGUUGUCUUCUUCUUGGCGGCAUUUCUGAUUAAAUAAAUAAAGUCCCGAAUUACUUAUUUUCUUUCUUAGUUACUAGUUAUCGAACACUAAACAAUAACUCAUACACAACAAAGCACAUUAAAAUAAAAACUUCCUUAUAUUAAAAUGCUUCUUUAUAGUUCAAAACUAUUUACACGUUGCGUUCCAUAGCCAAAGGCUAUUACAUUUAUAUCUCGCGAUUGACUUUCAAAAAAUUGGGAUUUACAAAAAGACUACCCUUUAAUUAUACAAAAGAGGGUUUUACGUCACUACAAAAAAUUAUUUACCAUUCUAACUUCUAAUACUGUCUAACAGCAUUCUCAUGCUUCUCGUUAGCUAGAAUCGACAUAAUAUCUCGACUUAUAGUAUGUCGAGUCUAUCCAAACUCAAUAGAAUAACAAGCUAUUUUAAUCUUGAAAUCCUCGUCCGCACUGUCAUUUAUAUAUGACAUUCGUGCUAUCUUCUGGUCUUUUUCAGCCAGUUUCUUACGAAGUUCUAUGACCUCGUUUUUAUAGUCCCUAGCCUUGUCAGUCAUGAGCACUUUCUCAUUAUGCUCUAUCUCAUAGUCUGACUCUGCAGACUCCUUGGCCCCAUAGAGAUAUCAUUGAUCUCCUCCUUCUGGUGUUGCACCAUAUUGUGCAGUUGCACGUUACGGUCAAGCACUGAGAGGUACAUUGCCCUCAUCGUCUCUGUAUGUGUCGACUCUAAGGCAGGUAUCACCGAAUUAAUCGAUGUUACCUCCAUAUCAUCCUCCAUAUCUAUUAUCAUAUUCAGAUAUGAUGAUAUUCCCAUGGUCUCCUCCGAAUAGUCCUCCUUUGAGAAAUACUCCUCGGGCUCUGAUUCUUCUAGAAUCACUAAAGGUAUCUCUGUUACAGGCAUAGGUACUGGCUCUACUCUGUUCAUUGACUCCUCGCUUACCACAUGUAUAUCCCUAUACAUUAGGCUAUCAAUUGACAUCUACAAUAACACAUAACAAAUUGAUUAGUACAUAAUAUACAAUAAUAUAAGCACAAAUCACAUUUAAUUCAUUUAAGGUUACUUUCCAUCUUUUAAAUCUUUCGGUACUGAGAUUCCUCAAUACCUUAUUAACUCAUUUGACUCGAGUUAACUUUCUUUGGACUCUUCCUUUCCUAACGAGGUUAUUAGCCUAAGGUUCUUCCCCCCUUAAGUUUUAUAACCUAAUGCUUUGAUACCAACCUGUGACGCCCCCAAAUCCGGGUAUCUUCAAACCCGACAGAUGGUGAUCCACGAUACUACAAUUCAUAUAGUCAUUCCAUUGAGACAACAACAAAAUGAUUGUAUUUACUAUAUUCUUAUUACAUUCGUAAUAAAUCCUUUCCCAGGUUUAUAACCGAAUACAUUCUUUGUUCUUCAUAAGUAUAUUACAUAAAAAUACAUUAAUCUAUUACAGGACGAUCAAUUGUCCAUUUUAGCCUUGCCUUUAUCUCUCUUAGAACUCUCAGUUCGUUCGGCUUUAGCUGCAAACAUAUAGUUCAAGCAAGAAUGAGCAUAACUAGCUCAGCAAGUCUUAACAAAGAAUCAUAUGAAUAUCACAUUAACAAUUACAUGCUUUACUUCCAUAACUGAACAAUUAAAUAUGAAGCACUAUGAAACAUUUGACUAGUACUUCUUAUGUCAUAACAACAAUUACAAAGUAUAUAUAAUAGCUUCGGAAUUCUGAACCGGUCAAUAGACCAUGAACAUACUCUUUUCAUUUUCAUACUUGAAAAGGACAUCCGGCACUAAUGCCAUCCAUCCGUCUUUACAUACGAGCACUUCUAGGUGAUCAGCCUAUUAUACUCUAUAUUAUUCAACACUCUUCUGUUAAACGUAUUUACGCUUAACAUUUGGCAACCUUGCGUGCCCAUCGAAUAAUCGAUGAAAUUAUUUUUGUUUGUUCAUAGACAAACUUACCUUCUCAUCCGUACCAAAUACUUGGCAUAGGAUAGCGUUAACAGUUCUAUAUCAAAAGACUUGUAACAAAUCAAUCAAUUCUUCAAUACUUGUCUAGCCGAGUUAAAACGGGCAUCGACUCUUUCUUUAAAACCAUUCAUGCAUCUUAUAACAUAAAUCACAUAAAACUUGACUAACACGAAGGUUAGGCAAGCGUUAAGAAAGACUUUCCUUCAAGUGUCUUCGAAUAUAAUAUUCAAUCAAUUCUCAGUCUUUACAGAAUCUACAUGAUAUAUUCAUAUAGCACAUUGUAAUUAGUUGUUAAAAAAACUAAUUUUAUUUGUUCUAACCAACUUCUUUCAAGUCGAUUCGACUUUCUAUACUUUGUUACAGCUCAUUAGCGUUCUUACGUUAUUAAUCGAUAUUCGAUCAUUAUUGGUGAAGUACCAACGUUGAAUGUCAUUUACGGUUUACUUAUUACAUUCUCGCGUUUCUUCGUUUAAUUUCUAUUAAACCUUACUAAAUCUUCUAACAUUAUCACCUUAUAAGUGAUUUAAGGUCAGCUUGAUUAUGUACAUUAAGUACCUUCAAUGUCUUACUUUAGGUCUACAUUCAAAUGAAACAAAAACCUAACUUGGUCAACAUUUUUACAUUGUCGGCGCUGCGGUGCGACAUCCCUAGUACAACUCGGCGCUGCGGCGCAAGUUAACAGGGGACAAGGCCGCAUCUGGCGCUGCGACGCGGCCAUUUUUACUUGUUUUGGCACUGCGGCGCCGCCUCUGUACACCAGUUGGCCAAAACAGUUUGGUUUUCUAACGAAACUUCCGGCUUCAUAAUUUGUUCAUUUUACAUCUGAAUUGACCCAUUCGAAAGCCUACAACUCACAAAUUACAUCCUUUAAGUGUUCAUAUAAGAAUUUUACACUUUCGAAUUCGUUAACUCGGAAUUCACCUUUGAGUUCAUUUUUGAGCAUUCAUUUAACAUUUUCGACCGUUCAAUACUCGUUUUCUUCGUUAUAAGUCAGAAUUAGACGAUUCUUGUGUCCACGACUCUUAAAUACCUUAUCUCACGUGUUGACAUUGAAAACCGAUGUUUUCAAGUCACACAGCAACUUUUGACCUUUAAUCUGAGAUUUUUACAUUUUUGACGUUUAACGUCUAUUUUUGCAAAAUUCGUCAUAACUUUGUUACUCGUGUUCUAUAAGCCAAAUCAAAUGGAACACUCCAUUGAUUCACCAUCUAUAUCCUAACCAAACAAUAUACACAUUCCUUAGCUAUAACGGUUUUUAAAUCGUUCAUUCAUAACUAAGUUCACGUUCAAGACUUUCUACAGUUUUUAACUCACGUAAACACUUACGAUUUCUAUUUGGUCAUGACCUAUCAAUGAUUUGAUCAUUAAUAGACAUCCUUAUCUCUCCUCCAUAAACAUGCUCCACCAAUCUACGAUUUUUCUACGAGAAAGAAAUCAAAAAAGAUGAAGAUUACGGUUUAUGAGAAUUUACCUUUGACGUACUUCACGUUCUUGAUAAACGUCUAAAGGUUUGCUUGGAAGUAAAUUGAUUAAGUGUUUCUAGCUCUUUUUAUCUCUCAAUAUAUAUUGGUCAAGCUUUGUAAAUCAACAAAAUAACCAACACAAGUCUUGUAUUUAUAGAAAACCAACAUGAGGGCAAAAUGGUCCAUUUCCUCACCUCCUUACUAUUCCCUACUUUAUCACAAAGUAAAGUACUUGGUGAUCAAGUAUUACCUUUACUUGGCCAUCAAGUGGCCGGCCCACUCCCUCUUGGGUCAUCCCAUGGGUUGCCCCCAUGGGUUUUACCCAUCCCAUGACUCGUCGGUUCGACCCGCGAUUUAACUUCUUGGAUUGGACUUGUCUUUAUUUAAUAUUGGGCCUUGACUUGGGCUUGUUCACUCAAUUCAUUAGGCUUGCUAUUAGUCCAAGUCCAAUUAGAUUAUGCCAAAGUCCUUAACUCCUAAUCCAUUAGAACUUUUCGUAUUCUAUACGUAUAACUCAUGUAUUCUCUUCAUCUAAUACUCAUAUGAUAUUCGUAUUAUACGUCGUAUUAUUCUUCAUACCAUACUCGUAUUCAUACUAGUAUAUCAUACUCGUAUAUCAUACGUAUAAUCACCGAAAUGAGUAUACACAUUACAUUUUUCCUUUCAGAAAUCUCUUUCACAAACCCUUAGGUUUUAAGUCCGCAGGCGAAAACUUUGUUUGCCAUAAUGGAAAUAUUAUUGGAUAUUCCACAAUAUCUUUAUAUUCUAUCAUUACGCGUUUCUCGAAAUUUUAAAUCUAAGCUCCGAACGAAAUCGGAUGAAUAGUGUUUUUACGGGAAACUUCUCGGAAAAUAUUCCUUUUCGUCUUGAUAAUUCACAACAAUUAAUCCUUGCACGAAACUAGAAUACUAACCACAUCAGUAUAUUCUAGGUCAUAGAAAUGACCUUUGAAUAUCUUAUUCACAUAAUUAAUCAAUUAAAUUCAUUUAAUCCCCAUAAUCAAAUAAAAUUUUAAUUCAUUAAAAAAUCGAAAUUCUCGGGCGUUACAAUAACAUUAUCUCAAAUCCACAUCAUAAUAUUCAAAAAAAUAUUUCGACAAAAUUAAAUCUUUAUUCAUAAAUUUUGGGGUCUUACAAUCUCCCCUCCUUAUGAAAUUUUGCCCUCGAAAUUUACGUACGUACCUAGUAUGCCGAACAGAUGAGGAUACCUCGUCAGAUUCUAACUCUUGAGGUAUAACCUUUGAGCGUAAAAUAUGUUUCUUCGUAUCCAAGAUUUUAAUAGGUACCUCUUCAUAUGUUAAAUCUUCUGUUAUCUCGUCCGGUUCUAAUUCAAUAAUGUGGCUUGGGUGGUCCAAAUAUUUACGUAACAUCGAUACAAAAAAAAUGUUAUGAACACGCGACGUACUUGGCGUUAAAACGAGUCUAUAGGCCACAGUUCCUGUAAGACCCCGAAUUUUAUGAAAUGAAAGUAUUCAAUUUUCUUAUAAUUAUUAUUUUAUUUCGUAAAUGGUUAAAUUGAUAAAAGUUUAAAGUUAAGGGUGAUAUGUGAAAAUUUUUGCAAAGUAAGCAAGUUGUUAUAUAAUAUUCGAUUGGUCGGGGAAUAUUCGUACAACAGCACAAUCAUUGGUGGACCCCACAACAGAAUUAUUGUCGGAGUUAGAAAAUGACAAAAUUAUCUUUUUAUAAAAAUAAUGGCGAAAGUUUUACCGUUAAUUGUUAAAACACUCGGUGUUAAAAGUAUAGUAAUACGCGUGGUUGUAUAGUAGCACACGGUAUUGAUUAUUGAUGCUUACGUGAGAAGUCACACAGUUUUGUUCAAUUAUUGCUACAGUAAUUGCUGCAUAGUGUUUGCAUAGUAAAAACUUUUUAUAUAAAACAGAAUACUUUUUAUAAAGUUUUAUUUUAUUUGAUUAUAAAUAGAAUAUAUUAUAUUUUAUUGCAUAGUACAUCAUAGUAUCAUUUACAUUCUCCUAUAAAUAGGAUGCUUAGUUAGAAUUGAAAAUCACACCAGAAGUUUAGAGAAUUCUUCUUCUAUAAUCUUGAGCGUAUUUCUUUAGAGUUUAAGAAAGCUUUGAGCGUAGAAAAUAGUGCAAGUUUUCUUUAAGUAUAUCCCCGCCCUACCCAUCGGAAUACUCUUCUUUUUAAGGUAAGGGAUAUUAUUAUUAUAGCAAGGGGUAUUAUUUCUUUCAUAUUCAUGAAGAGAACUAUUGUUAUUCCAUUCUUUAUUAUUUUGUUAGAAUAACCUGUAUACGCGGACUACCGUAUACAUGGUGAAAUUCUUCUGUUAUUCCAUUCUUUAUUAUUCUGUUGGAAUAACAUGUCUGUGCGGUCUAUCACAUGCCUGGUGAAUUCUGUUGUUAUUCCAUUCUUUAUUAUUUUGUUGGAAUAUCAUGUCUGUGCGGAUUACGCAUGACCUGGUUCCAUUCUUUAUUAUUUCUGUUGGAAUAACCUGUCUGUGUGGUCUAUCGCAUGAAUGGUGAAUUCUUCUGUUAUUCAGUUGGAAUAACCUGUCUACGUGGACUACCGCAUGCAUGGUGAAUGACCUUUCGUAUUCAUUCUUUAUUAAAUUGUGGAAAUUAUCUGUCUACGUGGAUUACAGCAUGGCGGAUGAAAAUCCAUUUGUAGUUUAGUAUAUUAUAUUAUACUCGUAUGAGAUAUCAUUUCUUUUGUAAUCGUCAUGAAAUAUCAUUUUAUUUGGUAUUUUAUUUACGAGUUACUAUUCACAAGUUACUAUUCACCCAGUUACUAUUCACUCUAGUAUUAUUCACUUGGGUAUUCAGGGCACUUUUCGUGUCGGAGUACUAUUCACGAGUUACUAUUCACGGGUUACUAUUCACCCAAAUUAUUAUUCACCCAAAUAUUAUUCACACGGGUUUUUCGGGCACUUUUCAUGUCGGGGUACUAUUCACGAGGUACUGUAACAAUCCAAGAUUUUAUUUGUAAUUUAAAAUAUUUAUUAAAUUAAAUAAAUAUUUUAUUGAUGAAGUUGUUGUUUUGUAAUUUAAAAUAUUUCUUAAAUUAAAUGAAUAUGUGAUUUUUGUUAGUAAAUAUUUAUAAAUUAUAUUUAUUAGAUAAUAUUCUAAAUUAAUUUAAUUUAUAUUGUUGUAAGAUAACAUGAGAUGUUAUAUUUCUGUUGUGAUGUGAUAAAUUAAGAUGGUAUAUUAAAUUAUUAAAUAAAAUUAUAAUAAAGUUAUAAUUUUGUGAUGUUUGUUUAAGUGGAGUAUUUAUUUAAAAUAUAGUAUGUAUAAUUAUUUUAUUUGAUUAAUGUUGGAUAUGGAAAUCCAAAUAAAUAGUAUGUGAUUAUGAAUUAUAAACUAAAUUGUUUAUUAAAAUAAAAUUAAAGUAGUUUAAUUUAGUUUUGACCAAACAAGACUUAAAUAUAUUAAGUCUUUAUUUUAAAGACUUUUUGCCAAACAAAGCCUUUUUGGCUUUUGGAUUUCUUUUAAUAUUUGAAUUAUAAAUAAAAUAUAUUAAAUAAUAAAUAUAAUAUAAUUAUAUCAUAUACGUUAAUAGUUUGUAACUGGUAUUAUAUUAAGUAUGUGUAUUAAGCCAUAUCGGUUUAUUUUAGUUUACGUAUACUUUUAUUUGCUAAGUGUAAGAAUUACACAGAACUUGAGAGAGAAUUGAGAUAGAUUGAGAGAAAACCUAAGAAAUUUCAGUGUUUAGCAAGGGAUUAUUAAGCAAAUUGAAGGUAUGUUCUAUAACUUUGAUAUUAGAUAUGUAUAUGUAUGAAUACGGCAUAAAAUUUCUAGGUCCUGUGAAUCCAAUUUGUCUUGAAUGGUUUUUAUAAACUGAAUUAUUGUAUCUAUAUGUAUUUGUGGUGUUAGAACUAGUAUGUAGUCAAGAAUUAUUGUGCUACUUUCGGUUAAAAGGAAGGAAAAGUAAUCACAGUAUAUAUUUUUCAUAUGGCUUGUGAAAGUACCAAUUAUGGUAGUCAAUUAGUAUGAUAAACUGUAAAUUGAGUCUUGUUUAUGCUAGUUCGUCAAGAAACAAAGAGAACGUAGUUUGAACGAAGUGAUUCGGUGUAGAAUUGUAAUCAUAGUGAUGAUUUUUGUAAAGAAUGUCAAAAAUGGUGUUUUUGUAUGAAAAUAUAGAAUUUGAGAAAUUAAACUAGUGCAAGUUGUUGUUAAUUUGUUCUAAUUGGUUGUAAAUGUUAGUAAACAUGUUUAUGAUAGUUGUAUACUUAUUUUAUGUGUUAAUUUCACUGUUUGAUGGGUGAAAUUCGUGUUAGUUGGGCUAAAGUCGGCUACUGUUCAUAGCCUUUCUGGUUCUGUCUAUGCACUGGCGCAGCUGCGCCGGUGCCAAGGCCAGAAACGGCGCAGCUGCGCCAGUCCCAGGCUUGUGUAUGGCACAGCUGCGCCAUACCCUGUCUUGAGACAGUGAGGUCUACUGCUACUGUAGACUUUGUAACACCACUAUAACUUGGUCUAAGGUUAUGUUAAUGUGUCAAAUGUGUAACGACAAGGUUAAAACAACAUUGUGUUCUGUGGUUAGUGAUUCUAAAGCUAUAAGAAGUUAGUAAACUAUGAAAAUGACAUGUUGUGAUUUAUUGAGAAUGAGGAUUAGUAAAUAAGUAUUAUGAAGGUUAACACUUGAAAUUUCUAACAUUUAUAUAGUAGCAUAAGACUUGUACUAAAUUAACAAGUUUAGCUAUAAUGGGUGUUAUUUUGGAAGUGGAUGUUAACAUGUCUAAUAGAUAUUGUGAUUGCACUAAAAUGUGUAGGAUAUUGGAGUACGUGAAUUGUAAUUGUAUAGCUUACGCAAGAGGCAAGUUCCCUAACCUUUGCUACUUUAUUAUUCAGCAAGGUUACUUUUCACUAUUACGUUAUACUUAUGCAGAUUCUCUAACUCUAACCUCUUGUUUGACGAUUUAUUGUCAUGCGAAUUCUUUAACUCUCAUUUAGUUGUUGAACAAGUUAGUUAAUCUUUAUUUCUUUAUUUCAAACGAGAUUACCUUGUUCAUUCAAAGUCAGUAAUUUUGUUUAUUCAGCUAUUAAUAACUGUUGUAUGAUCUUCGUUCUCCAAUAUCAUUGUACUAUCUUACAUUAUUGUAGCGGACUCUAAGUUGUCUAGCGAUUCUUUACCAACUCAACUAAUCCUUAGUGGAUGAAUGUUCUAAACUCUAAAUUACCUUUGAAGUCAACUCAAACCAAACUUCCUUUGGUUUGCUUAUGUACUCACACAAUUUUGAAAGCAUGUUGUCGAGGAUAACAUUUGUUCAAUUUAGAAACUGUUAAUACUCUAGCUUUUAUUGAUUCAUCGAUAUACCUUGUUCAUGAAGAUAUUAUAUUCAAAUUCUUGAAUAAUUAUUGGUCUCCGUCUUAUUCAACCAGUACUUGGUUGAUGAACAUUCUAAAGAUCUAAAAUUCCUUUAAAGUUAUUUCCCAACCAAACCUCAUUUGGUUCAGAACCUGAUGAUCUAAGCUGAGAUGAACAGCCCUAUUAUUAGGGGAUUAUUUUAGAAAUACGCAAUAGCGUUAAAAUGUUUGCGCAAUACAUAGUACAAAGGGCUGAUCACUUGGAGUACGGAAUGAUGGUCCAUAUAGUCAUUUAGACUAUUAACGGUUACAGUAGAAACACCUGUUAACCUAGGACGAAGAUGAUGAUUAUAGUCUUUUAGACUAUUAAAGGUUAAAGUAGAAAUACUUGAAACCUAGUGUAUAAUUCGUGGUCUUGUGACCCUCAGUGUAUUCUUUGAUGUUGAUAACUAUUGUUAAAUUAAUGUUCAUUAUUCCUUUGAACAUAUAGUUGUUGAAUUAAAUUUUAUUGUUCCGAUAAGAAUACUUUACCAUUGAAAACUCAGUGAAUUAUCAUUCAUAAACCGUUAUUGUAUAUUAUCCUUCUUGUGGGCAAUUGUUUGCUCACUCUUGCACAAAAUAAUGUAGAUGAAGUUAAGAAGUUUGAAGCGUUUUCUACAAGCAAGAGCAAGGACAAAGUGAUUAAUUAGACGACAACGUUUAAGUUAUCUUUUAUCUAUGAAGCUUAUGUACUAGAUCUAAUUAUGAUCAUGUUUUAAUUUUCGUCGAUGAUUGUAUUAAAGGUUAGAUGACCUGGGAUUUAUCUUGAGAUUAUGUAACCCUUGAUGGGAGAUUUAUUAUUUAAGCUUUUGAGUUUAAUUAUAUCCUUUGUUUAUGGGUAGUUAGUUAUGAUUUGAUUGGACAGUGAACACCAAAUCUGUGGAAUUGAAGUACCCGGAUUUGGGGGUGUCACAGGUACUAUUCCCGAAGUACUAUUCAUGGGGUACUAUUCACGGGUACUAUUUACCUGAAAAAUAUAUUUCUUUUCUGUCCAAAUUAUUUUUGGUACAAUAUUAUUCUUGAAUUUUACUCUACAAAACAGUAUCAUGUUGACAAUUUGGACGUUAUUGAUUUCUGAAUAAAUUAAAUUAUAAAUCUUUAAAAUUUUAUCCUUGAACUUGUUUUAUUGAAUUCUUAUAUCAUUGUCAUCAUACUCAUGUUUAUAAUAUGUUGGAAGUCAUCUAUGGCCUGUAGUGCAUAGAUGGACUUGGUAUGAUUAUGACCAGGGAUUAUUCGGUAUAAUCAUGACCGCAAUGUUACAAAUGAUGUGGAAAAAUUCCCCAUUGGCCCGUAGUGCAUUGAUGGACAGUUUUUGGUAUGAUUAUGGCUAUGGAUUCUCCUCGGCCAAGGGUGCAAAGAUGAAUUAUUUUAUGGCAUGAUCAUGACCGUUGAUGAAAACACGAAUAUCUUUGGCCCGUAGUGCAUGGAUAAUUCGUGGUCAUGAUACUAAUGAAUAUCUUUGGCCUGUAGUGCAAGGAUGAUUCGAUGAUGUGGAUUAAUUAUUGAGCUGAGUCUCAGCGAUGAAAUAUUAAUUCAUGGAUGUGAUAAUAAUAAAUAUCAUUAGCCGUAGUGCAUGGAUAAUUCAUGGAUGUGAUACUAACGAAUAUCCUUGACCGUAGUGCAUGGAUAAUUAGGUGAUGUGGAUUAUUUAUUGAGAUGAGUCUCAGCGAUAAAAUAUUGAUAAUAGACUUUUAAUUCGUAGAAGAUAGUAGAUAUCAUGCUCUACUUGACUCUUCUAAAAUACAGUUGCAUGUCUUUGGCCUGUAGUGCAAGAAUGAACUGUUAAUGAAUAUCUUUGGCCCGUAGUGGAAAUAUGAAUUUAUUAGUAUGAUUAUGGACAGGAAUUGUGAUUUGGUAUAACCAUGGUAUUUGAUAUUUCAGGUAAAGACAGGUGAUGAAAAUUAUCUUCGUCCUAAGUGCGAAGAGGAAUUUAGAACCACAAUUAUUAUUAUGAGUUAUUCAUCUGAUUGUGGACAGGAAUUGUUGACUGAUGUUACAGGGAUAAAAUAUUGUUGGUGGAUUUUUAACGUGGAGAAGAUAAUAGACUUUAUGGUCUAUUUGACUCUUCUAAUGGAUUGUUCGUUCCGCUACAACUAUGGUUGAAAAGUUUUAUCAUCUGCCAUAUGUUCUAAAUCUCUGAUUCAUUACUGAUGAAGGCUAUUGAUAAUUUAAUUAUCUUUAGUCAUGAUAUUCUUUACUGGGCUAGUUGUGCUCACCCUUCUGCUUCACAAUUCCUUUCAGGUAAUAAGAGUGUAGCUGGGUCGAGCGGGGAUAACAGGAGAAUAGAACGGUGGUCUAUAGUUGUUGAGGUUCUCCCUAAAUAGUAUGGAAAUAAUUUUGUUGAGAACUUUAGAUAAGUUUGUCGUAUUGUAUACGUCAUUUGAUAUUUAAUUUUGGUGAACCAAAUAGGGUGAGGUGAACCCAACUUUGGAAGGGUAUUUUGCCACUAUCAUACAAGAUGCCUAAUGACAUACAACACCGUGUUAUCAUAAGACAUGGUUGUGCACAUCCACUUGCUGAGUAUAUCUAUGAGCACUACCUAUAUGAUCUCGGAGUAUAUUUGAAAUAUAAUUUUCACUUGGAGACAACGGAGAUAAUUAUAUAUCAAGAGAAGACUCACAAUUGGAAAGAAGAUGAUAGUAAUCUUCUUAUUUUUCUUUGGGGACUUUUAGGUCAACCAAGGGUAAUUCUGUGGACAUAUGAUAUCUAUCAUAACCUAGAUGCAUGACCUCUCAUGUACGAAGGUUUUCUUGAGCACUUCCCAAAGAUUUUAAUUUCUAAAACAGUUUUUGACUGUACUUUUAUGUAAAGUACCAUUGUAAGGUUGUGGUCGAGGCACCAGGAGAGUUACAUACAUUAGUGUUAAAACUCGCAGCUUAUCUAUUGUCGUACUCUGCACGACAGUUCAACAGUUGUAUAAAUGAAGUUUGUAUUUGAUUUUUAUAGUGCGAUAUCUGGCGACUUAAGAUGGGUGAUGUAUACCUAUUUUGGGGGCGUCACAGUUCCUACUUGAUAGAGGAUUUCAAAUAGAACAAUUAAAUCGAGGGUUGAGAUUUCCUCUCUUCGUCAAUUCUUGCUUCUAGAAUAACGCCCUCUUGAACCUUCUUCUUCACAUUCAUCAACUCUGAGUCUGUAGUUUAAGUGGCUUUAACUUUAUCGAUUAAAGUAUGUUCUAAUCGUAUAUUUAACAUCAUCACGUGGGUCUCUAGAGUAAGUCAUACGAAAUGGGUUUUUGUGUUAACAACGUUGCACUCGUAACUGCAUACGAUCUUCUACUCAACGCGUCAGUUACCACGUUCGCUCUUCUACGAUGAUAUUGAAUGGUAUGGUCGUAAUCUUUAACAGCUUGAGCCAACUUCUUUGGCGCAUGUUACGUUCAUUUUGGGUGAAGAAAUAUUUGAGGGUUUUAGAAAUGGGUUUUGUACUGGGGUCAAAUUUAAACGUUGAGUGCAAGUAGGAGAAAUAAAAGAAUGGGUAGAACCGAUAUCGAAUAAGGUAUAAACUUCGCAAGAGUUUAUGAUUAACUUACCCGUAAUAGCUUCGUUCGGGUUCCUCGACAAACGCUCUCAAUUAAACUACCGACUUUGACUUGUCUGAGACAUCCUUUGGCGUCACCAUCCCAGCUGGACUUGACUUCACUACACGACAAAAUCGAGCGAAGUAACCUUCUCUUCCGCAAUUGAAACACACUUUGGGUUGCUGCGUACAGUUUGGACGAAUAUGUCCCUCCUGUUCGCAUUUGAAACAUAUGACCAGUGGUCGUUCUUCUUCCUUGGAAACGGGCGCUGCUUUCUUUCCAUCAUUAUUGAACUUUCUCUUCUUGAAGUUGUUCUCACUUAGUUCAACUUUCUUAUUAUCCUGACCAUGAUUACCACCGAAGUGGUUACCAUUUCUGGCAUAUUGAUUCCCUCCACCUUUGUUGUCACCGCUUCGAUGACUGUUACCAUUGGUAUUUUCUAUUUGCCGGUUGUUCUCUUUUGGUUGGGUUGACUCGUUAUUGCGCUCCAAUAACUGAGCCCUAUUUAUAACAUCUGAAUAAAAAUACAGUUUGUGAGAAAUAAGGUAUUGACGUAUCUCUGGUUUCAAACCUCUUAGAAACAUCCACGUCAUUCUCUCCUUAUUAUCAACCAAAUGGGAUGCAAACCGAGACAACUCAGCAAACUUAGCUUCGUACUGCGAUGCGGUCAUGUUGUUUUGCUCCAGCUUGAUGAACUCUACCUCUUUCAUGUGACGAAUACUUUCGGGACAGUACUUGUCGUUGAACAAUUCUUGGAACUUCUCCCAAGACAUCUUGAGUGCGUCAGGCUGGGUACGUUUUACAGAUUCCCACCAAUGAUCUGCUUCUUCACGCAACAUAAAGGUGGCGAAUGGAACCUUUUGCUCUUCUGAGCAUUCCAAAACAUCAAAUAUCUUGGUGAUCUACUUUAUCCACGUCUCUACCUUAAGUGGUUCUUGCUUUCCCAAAAACUCUGGUGGUCCCAGCUCCUUGAAUUUCUUAGCGGUGACCAACCGUGGGUUGCCAUUGUUUUCACCUGCAUUAUGAAUAUGAGUCUCUCGCGUUUGGUGUUGCAUGAACUGCACAAAGCCUCUGAACAUCCCAUCGUUCAUCAUUUGGUCCGUGUUGUUGUUCACCUGAGGAUUGUUGCCUUCCCGCACAUUAUCCUGGUUAUUGAUCUGUGGUGACUCAACGGUCUCUUGUGCUCCAUUUCUUAUCUCAACAUUUUCAGAUGCCAUUUUACUAUCACAAAACAAGGGUUAAUUGACAUGCCACAUAUUAUCCCUCUACUCUGACUGACCAGUUAAAUAACAAAUAAGUUUAGGUAGGUUAUACUAGCGAAGCAAUUACCCGCCUCUCCCUUCCUAGUUCUAGUCUCACAUCUCAGCCAGGGAUCAUAUCCCUAAACUUUGAUACCAACUGUGACGCCCCCAAAAUAGGUAUACAUCACCCACUCUGAGUCGUCAAAUACAUGGUACAGAAUACAAAUACAAACUUAAAUAUACAACGAUCGUGUAAAGUACGACAAAAUAUAAGCUGGGAGUUUCAACAUGAAUAUUAUCUUCUAGACAAUAUCCAAACUCAAAUUCAAUAUUAUUACAUUUAUUUUCACACUAUUUCACAAAAUAGUGAGGACUACUAAUGCAAACAUCUGGACCGUCACUCCGUUCCCUGACUAGUCCCAGCUAUAUUCUCAUUUCCUGAAGAGAACAAUGAAAGUAAAAGGGUGAGCUCAACUAACCUAGUAAAAAAAAAUAUUAUGGCUAAGAUAAUGCAGAAUAAAUUAUCAUUAGCCUUCAACAGUAUAACAACUGAUAGAAUAUAAUAGACAACAAGUUUUAGAUCAACAACUGCAGCGGAAUAAGCAAUCCAUUAGAAGAGUCAAGUAGAACAUGAUAUCUACUAUCUUCUAUGAUUUAAAAAGUUUAUCAUCACUUUUAUCGUUGAGACUCAGCUUAAUAAAUAAUUCACAUCAUCGAAUCAUCCUUGAACUACGAGCCAAGGAUAUUCUUUAGUAUCACGACCACGAAUUAUCCAUGCACUACGGGUUAAGGAUAAUUGUGUUUUCAUCAACGGUCAUGAUCAUGCCAUAAAACAUUUUAUCUUUGCACCCUUGGCCAAAGAGAACCCAUGACCAUGAUCAUACCAAAAACUGUCCAUCAAUGCACUACGAGCCAAUGAGGACUUUUACCACAUCAUUUAUAACAUUACGGUCAUAAUUAUAACGAUAAUCUGUGGUCGUGAUCAUACCAAGUCUAUCUAUGCACUACGACCAAAGAUGACUUUCAUAACAAUAUAAGCAUGAGGAUGAUGACAAUGACAUAAUAAUUCAAUAAAACAAAUUCAAGGAUAAAUUUUAAAGAUUUAUAAUUUAAUUUAUCCAGAAUUCAAUAAUAUCCAAAUUGUCAAUAUGAUACUGCUUUGUGGAGUAAACUUCAAGAAUAAUAAUGUAUCAAAAAUGAUUUGGACCGAAAAGAAAUCAAUUUUUGUCAUGAAUAGUACCCCGUGAAUAGUAACUCAUGAAUAGUAACUUGUGAAUAGUAACUCGUGAAUAGUAACUUGUGAAUAGUAAUUCGGGAAUAGUAUCCCGUGAAUAGUACUUCUUCAUGAAAAAGUUAAAACUUAUUAAGAAUGCCUAAAAUAAUAUUUCCAUGAAAAGAUACUAGAUGAAGCGCAAAUAUCAAGGAUAUUCUAUUAAUUUCAUGGAGUAUAGAAGCCAAAAUUUAACCAAAUGAGUAUAGAAUUCGAAAUCUGAAAUGAAAUAAUAUUACUUACAUACUACAGAGUAUGGAAGAAAAUAUUAUUUUAUACGAAUAUUGAACAAAAUAACAUCUCUUACAAAUAUUAAACGAAAAUAAUAUUCCUUUCGAAUAUUGAACGAAUAUAAUAUUCCUUACGAAUAUUAAAUGAAAAUAAUAUUUCUUGCGAAUAUUGAACGAAAUAAUAUUCAUACGAAUACGAAAAAUAAUAUCUCUUCAGAAUAUGAAAUAAAUAAUACCCCUUACCUUAAAAAGAUGAGUAUUCCGACUGGUAGGGCGGGGAUUUUCUUGAAGAAAACUUUCACUAUUUUCUACGCUCAAAACUUUCUAAAACUCGAAAGAAAUACGCUCAAUAUUAUAGAAGAAGAAGUCUUUGAUUCUGGUGUGAUUUUCAAUUCUAACUAAGCAUCCUAUUUAUAGGAGAAUGGAAGGGGUACUAUUUAAGAAAAAAUUCACAAGUGGGCAGAGAAAAUCUCACGGGCAAUUUCUAAAUUUUCACAGACAAACGUUUUUAAAAAAUAAAAAUAUAAUAUUCAAGUAAAACAAAUAACUUUAUAUAUAAUAUAAUAUAUAUUCUAUUUUUUCAUAAAAAACAAAACUUAUUAUAAUAUUUAUAUAUAUAUAUAUAAUAAUUAAUAAAGUAACUCCCUCCUUUCUACGUAAUGUACUCCCUCUCCCCUUUCUGACAAUUCAAUAUAAUUCACAUGUAUAUAUAUAUAUAUAAUACAAACCCUCCAACAUAAGUAAACUCCAACCCACCCCCAUUUCAGAUUUUCCUCCACCCAUGGGCCCCACAUGUGGCCCCACCUUUAUUAUAUUAAAUAAUUUUCUACCGAUUAUUUUGAAAAAUGGGUAAAUGGAGGUCCAUAAAAUAAACAAACAUUACAUCAAAUACUUUAUAAAAAUUCCCUCAAUAUUUUUAGUAACGUCUAUUCAUCAUUAUUAUAACUCGCAAUAUUAACAACCAGAUCGUUCCCAGGAAAGAGGAGGCUUUCCGAUAAGGAUUUCUCCCUAUUGGCGCGCAAUUAGGUGACCAAACCCCUUUCCUCGACAGAAAUUUAUAGACAUUGUUAAUUAUGCAUAUAAUAAUUAGAAUAACUUGUCAUCUCAAUUAUUGAUUUAAUAAUAUAUAAAAUAUCGACAAUAAUUGAAUCAAAUAACGUGAGAUACUAUGCAGCCAUUAUUGUAUCAAUAAUUGAAUAUAACUGAGUGACUUCUCACGUAAGCAUCAAUAAUCAAUACCGUGUGCUACUAUGCAACCACGCGUAUUACUGUACUUUUAUCACUGGGUGAUUCAACAGUUAAACGGUAAAACUUCUGCCGUUAUUUUUAUAAAAAGAUAUUUCUGUCGUUUUCUCAUUCCGACAGUAAUUCCGUUGUGGGGUCCACCAAUGAUUGCGCCGUUGUACGAAUAUUCUAUGUUAAAAAGAAUAUUCCCCAACCAAUCGAAUAUUAUAUAACAACUUGCUUACUUUGCAAAAUUUAUAAAUAUUACCCACAACUAUAACAUUAUCUCAAAUCCACACCAUAAUAUUCAAAAAAAUAUUCUGAGAAAAUUAAAUCUUUAUUCAUAAAUUUUGGGGUCUUACAUUAUCUUUGUUAAAACCAAAGUAAUUUGGUUGAUUCCAGUUACAAAAGUCCUAGGGAGGGAUUGUUAUAGAGUAAUUCUGUGGAGAUGAGUUUAAAGCCUUUGAAUUAAUGAGAGGUAACCUAUAAGUGAAACCCAACUAAAUACUAGAGUAAUAUUUAUAUAUUAGUUUAAUGGAAAGAUGCUUACAGUAAUAACUAUUUAUACACUAGACAUGUAUGAAAAAGAAAUUCUUCAAAACCAUCUCAAAGUUAGUGUAUACUUAUAUGAAGAACAAAGAUAGUAGGGUAAACCUUUAAUGAAUCCUUAUCUAGUUUGAAAGAUGCAGGUCAUGCAAGUGCAUCUAAUUUGAUUCGCCUAUGUAAGUGAAUGAAGUGGGGCCACUUUUGCAAGAUUUCAAGCUUGUUUCUAAGUCACUUAUGAAAUCCAAGAUGUACACACAAGGCCAUAAAUGUGUUUGGUUUCCUUAAACUAUAAGGGGUAUAGUAUAUAUAUAUUAAGCAACAUAUCACUUUAAGAUUUCAUAGUUCAAAUCUAACCCUACUGAGAAUUCUAAUAUUUUGUGAUAUAGACUAUGUAAAGGUUCAAGUUGAUAGACACCUCUUACUUAUGUAUGAUAUGCCUAAAGAGAGAGAAAGUUAACAAAAUAAAGUUACAUGACUUUGAAAAUGGGGGGAGAUUGUUGGAUAUUUUCAAAAUAUGUUGUUAUAUAUAUAAUAAAUAUAUUAUAUUAUUUUAAUAACAAACAGAUGCAUUCGUUCAAUGGUAAAUGUGUGAUUACUAGUUUGAACAGGCGUAAUGUUGAACCGGUGCAAUAGUUCAACUUGGGUCACUAGUUUAAACUAGUGUGAUUGCUAGUUUGAACGAGCGGGUGUAACAUUAAAUCGGUGUAAUGGUUCGAUUUGGGUCACUAGUUUGAACUAGUGUGACCUUUAGAAGGUAUGUAUUUGGUUCAUAUCUUUUCAAAUUGAAAAUGUGCCUUUUUCAAAUGAGUAUUUAGAAUCCUAUAAAUAGGAUUAAAAAACUCUCAUUCGCAUAUGAAAUUUUUCCACAAGAAAUGAAUGUUUCAUAAUUCCUUUAAGGAAUUUUGGUUUAUUAUUUCCUUCUCUAUCUCUCUCUCAAAUUAUAGUUUUGAAUUAAAUAUUAUCAUGCACAUAGUAUUUAAUAAAUAUUAAUCUAUGGGUUUGUUUUAUCUUGGGAGAUUAAUUCGUUGUAACCCUAUGAAAUUCAUAUAGGGGGGGCGAAUACUAUCUUAAGGAGAAAAUGAACUUUCAUUCAAUUUAGGGGGCAUAGUUAUUAUUGGGAAUUGAUAUUUCCACAAGUGAAAUUAUUAGUUUCAUAAGGCACUUUCUCACACGAAGGUGAACCCCACUUACUAUACGUGUAAAGAGAAAUUUGUGAUACUAUCAAAUUUAUUUAUGAAAAUAUCAAUUCCCUUAUUAUUUUUCAAAAUUUCUGCAAUGUCUUAUAGCGAAAGUUCCAACUUUUCUUUCCUCCACUGAUCUCUGAAUUAUCCUGCAAUCUGCUCUAUUAUAUUUGUAACACCCCCUUCCCGAAAAGGAAAGGGAGGUCACGUGCAAAGCACAACAAACCUCAAAAAUAAGUAAACAUAGCACUAAUAACUUCAAAAUAUUAAUAGUGAUAUCCAUCAAUGAAGUACUAAAUACAAUUCUCCAAAUAGAGUCAAAAUAACCAAAACCAAAAUUCGAAACCACCUAGAUGGUCAAAGAUAACUCUCUCAUCACACUAGCCCUGAAUCACCCCUACAAACCUGCCGGAAGAAAAACACAGCAUGAGUCAAUUGCCCAGUACGGAUACAUAUAUAAAAAAGAUAUACAACUGAUAUACGAAAACAACUGAGACAAAAUACUGAACAAAGCCUCAAAUAUAAAUACUGACGAAAAUAUAUUCUCCAAAAAUCAUAAUGGAAUAUAUCUGAAUCAACAGAAUUGACGAAACCAAUAGAAGAAUAAAGAAAUAACGAACUAAAGCAACUAACUCAAUGAAUUGAACUUAACAUAAACAAAGAAAACUAAUGCAAUGAAAUAAUAGGCUGAAUCAAAUGGUUGGAUGUUAUUUCAUACCGAUAUUGAGCUCAGAAAUAUACAUUGCCACAUAGGCAAAUCAAAACAAUGUCACACAGGCAAGUCAAAAUAAUGCCACACAAGCAAGUCAAAUGAUGCCAAACAGGCAAGUCAAAUGAUACCACACAGGCAAGUCAAAUGAUACCACACAGGAAAAUCAAAUAAUGCCACACAGGCAAGUCACACACAUUGGACUGUGAAUCCAAAUGUACGCAAAUCGGAUAGGUGUGUUUGGCACAAUAUCAUAAAUUCGCAGAACAGAAAACUAGGGUUAACCCAUACGCCUACCACAACAAAACACCAAAUGGCCCACUUCCUCCGGAGCCCAAAACAGAGACGUCGUGGUCUAAUCACACCGCCACGGAAAGUGUCAUGCCUCUCCUGCCAAGACGACAUGCAUUUGGUACCCCCAUAUGUGGUUAUAGCUCAGGUAUACCUUACGCUAUAUUCUAACAAAAAUACUAUGUCAAAACACAUGCGACAUAAUACCAAUAAAAGGGUUCUAUAUGUACAUGUUGAACCAAAUCAAAUUAUAGUCACAAGGUCUCAAAAAGAAUGUAGCAACAUGUACCACUCUACAAUUAUCAAAAAUAAAUACUAAACAUGAUAUCCUAAUUCAAAAAGUACAAAUACGAGUCAUGUGUAUCAACUCCAAGAUGAAACUAAUAUAUGUAUUUCACGGGAAACAAUUAUGUGAAAUCAUAAUUCCAAAUAAGGAAACAAACGAACAAAUCAAAUUUAACAAGAGUACCGCUAAAAGAGUACGGAAUCCGUACCUAAAUCUAAUACCGAAAUAAUUUACUGAAUCCAAAUAUCGUCCGCUAGACCUUCUCAAUCCGAUCUAUAUAAUUAUCAAAAUAAAAUAUAAUACGUAUAAUUAAAUUAUGAACUUAUAAAAUUUUUAUUUUCAUAAAUUCAAUAAUUUUAAUAUAUUAUAUUUAAUUUGUACUCAAAAGAUAUAUUUUAAUUAUAAUAACAAUAUUAUAAUAUUAUUUAUUACUAUCCCAUUUUAGAGCUUCUGCAGAUCUUAUAUUGACUUGCAACUUAUAUUAUAUAACUAUAAGUUAUAUUAAAAAAAAUCUAAUAUACUAUAUAACUCCUAUAAUAUAUAAAGGCUGAACCAUGUAUGAAGACAUACUCCUAACAAAAGUACUGCAAAAAAAAUGAAUAACUCAUAUAUAUAUAUAUAUAUAUAUAUAUAUAUAUAUAUAUAUAUAUAUAUAUAUAUAUAUANNNNNNNNNNNNNNNNNNNNNNNNNNNNNNNNNNNNNNNNNNNNNNNNNNNNNNNNNNNNNNNNNNNNNNNNNNNNNNNNNNNNNNNNNNNNNNNNNNNNNNNNNNNNNNNNNNNNNNNNNNNNNNNNNNNNNNNNNNNNNNNNNNNNNNNNNNNNNNNNNNNNNNNNNNNNNNNNNNNNNNNNNNNNNNNNNNNNNNNNNNNNNNNNNNNNNNNNNNNNNNNNNNNNNNNNNNNNNNNNNNNNNNNNNNNNNNNNNNNNNNNNNNNNNNNNNNNNNNNNNNNNNNNNNNNNNNNNNNNNNNNNNNNNNNNNNNNNNNNNNNNNNNNNNNNNNNNNNNUAUAUGCUCUGAACAAUCUUGAUUCUAAUGCAUCGAAACAAAUAAACAAUAUACUCAUUAGUUUUAUGUACUAAACCCAUAUAAAAGAAUAGUUCAUCAUCUAAUAUAUAAAAAAAACUCAGAUCCUAAAUUUCAAUUCAAGAUUAUCGCAAUGAGUUGAAUAAUUAGGCGGCACAAAAAAAAUUGUCAUAACCUCUAUUGAAAUCAGAAUAGUAAAAUACAUAUCUGCAAUAAUUACCUUUUAGAAGAAGAAUAUGAUGAAUAAAGUCUUAAUAAUCUUGUUCUCAAACCCUUUUAAUUUCAGCCUCCGUUUAUCUCUCUCCAUCCACCUUUUCUUUCUUCGUUUAUUGCAGUACCAAUCUUAGGGAAACCCUAACUUAAUAUAUUAAAUUUAGGCUUAUUAUAAUUUGUUCUUAAACCCAACAAUUAAAAUUGGGCUCAACAAGUUUGACAACCCAAACUUAAAUACUUAGAAAUUAGUUUGACCCAAUUAGUUUAAAUGCCCAACUUAAUGUAACCACAUACUUAUAAUAUUUAACUUAAAUUAAAUACUCCCUCCUAUUCAGAUUAAAUGUCAUUUUAGAGUUAAGCACACUUAUUAAGAAAUAACACAAAAUGUCUUUUGUGUCCCUAAUUAAUUAUUUCUCUCUCCACAAUUGUCUCUUCUCAUUCUCCACAAUUGUCCCUAAUUAAUUAUUUCUCUCUCCACAAUUGCAUUUACUAAGCAUAUUAAAUAGAGAAGUAAAUUAGGAAAAAAUAGUGCAAUAUUGCAUAGAGAUUCCAAAACGACACUUAUAUAGAAUAAAAUUAAACUCCCUAAAACUUCAUUUAAUCUGAAUAGGUGGGAGUACAAUUUGACCAAAACUGCCAAACAUAAGAAAAGUCCAAUUUUAUUAAGUUAAUUAUUCAUCACUUAUUAAUACAUAUUAGCCCAAAUUAAUUAAAUUACAAGUUUGACUCAAAUAAAAGACAAAGUCCAAACAAUAUGUUGUAAGAAUAUAAUUUAUUUAUUUUUUUUAGGUAUUACAUUACCUAUCCCUUAAAAAAGAUUUCGUCCCCGGAAUCAAAAGAAUGAACGUAGCUAAUUAUCAAAAAGAUGCGAAUACUCCGCUAGAAUAGACUUCACUAUCUCCCAAGUAGCUUUCCGUUCCGAAUGAUUUUACCACAAGACUUUAACAAAAGGAAUUAUCUUCCUCAAUUUUAAUUUAAUCAGUUAUUUAAUUAUCUACUAAAAGAAUUUAAUUUUCCAAACAAAACAUGGAAGAAAAGAGGGAAACAAAAUCAUUUACCUUUUCCAAUUUAAAUACAAUUGUAUAAGAUAAAAUCAAUUAAUAUUUAAUUAUAUAUAAAAAAAUGGGUUAUUACAUUUUUCACCCCUUCAAAAUAAUUCCGUCCUCGGAAUUCAAAUAAUUAAGUUACUUAAAAUUUUGUUUUAGUUUUUAUUUAAAUUACAUAAUUAUUCAUAAACUUAAAUUAAGAUGUAGCGCCGCCAUUUGUAACGAUCAAGCCUGGCAAGUCCAUCGGUCCACACAAUUAUCCAUGUACUCGUAAAAGAUUCGUCAGUUAUCGUGUCAAGCCUUGGUAAGGUUCUUCGCGUUAUAUCACAUGAUACACUGUUGGUGNNNNNNNNNNNNNNNNNNNNNNNNNNNNNNNNNNNNNNNNNNNNNNNNNNNNNNNNNNNNNNNNNNNNNNNNNNNNNNNNNNNNNNNNNNNNNNNNNNNNUUGGUGCGGGCCCCCUGUUAAUAUCUUUGAGUUUCAUUCUUGCAAACGUAAGUACUCUUCGGAACCUAAUUCGAAAACACAAAAUUUUCUUUUCAUCUAACUACAAUUCGAAUACCCAAAAUAUUUAAAAUUAUCUUUAAUUCAAAUAAAUGUUUAUGUUCCACACAUGACAAAGAUUUAACAAAUUAUUUUUAUUUAAUUUUACAUAAAUUUAUGCAAAACUCUAAGGGCAUUAGAUAAAUGAAACAACUUAAAUUAUAUCACCUCUCACUAAGUCCUCAAGAGUUUCAAAAUAUAAUAACCUCAAAUCAAAUUAGUUCGCAAAUAAUAUUACACCAAAAAUAUAUACUAAGAUCUCUUCAUCAUCAUACCAAACUCCAAAUCAUAUAUCCUACUAUCUGAUUAAGCAAACUAUAGCUUUCAAAAUCUCUUAAAGAUUCAUCACUUAUUAUAUAUCUAACCAUUCAAUGAAUCAAUCAUUCUCUUAAUGCAAAUCUUAACCCAACAAUUCCAAGAUCUCCUCAUACUAUUACUCAAAAUUUCAUAUAAGAUAAUUCCAAUAUUCUACUAAGAAAUAAUCGCAAAAUUCAUUUACUUCAAAAGAUUAAUCUAAUUACCUCGAAUCUCUACAACAACUCAAAAUUACAAGAGAUCCUCUGUACUUAAUAGUUUUCACUUUAUCAUAUUAUCCCACCGAUUCACAUACCUCAAAUUAUUCACAACUUAACAAAAAUCAGAAUCUAAUCUAAAUCAAAUCCUCAAUUCCAAAAUCAUAAUAAUUUGUAAUUACCUGAAAUAACUCUAACAAAUAAUUCUCCAAUAUCAAAACUCGCUGAUACAAAUACACAUAUCAUAAUCGUAUAAUCAUUUCUUAACUGAACAAAAUAUGACAUUAUUCUCCUUAAUGAUCCAAUCACAAUCCUUAUCUAAUGUUAUUGUUCCAACGCAUAACAAUAAUAAUCUUAACAAAUUAUCUCCCUUUCUUAAAUAAACUACAACUCAAAGAGCUAAAAACACUUGGUCAAAAUUAAGACCAACCAAACAGAGAACAAAAUCGAAUCAAACUCCUACGUCUACCCAGUGAUUACCCAUAACUCACAAGUCAAACCUAAAUAGGUUUUCUACAAGAAAGAACCUAAGCUCUGAUACCAUAUGAAACAACCCGGGUCAAAUCCCGAGUUCGGAACAAAUCUUGGGUCAAAUCCCAAGUCCAAAUUGAAUCAUAUCCAUCAAAAUAAGGUCUCAAAAUACUGGCCCAAUAGUAUCUUCUUGGGUCAUCUUAGCCCACCACGGGCUCCCAAAAGGUCAUGACUUGAAGGUACUAUUGGUAGUAACUUAUUUCCUUAUAUGCAGAUAAAUUUUUCCCCUAUCUUUCGAUGUGGGACUGGGGUGUUACAAACUCCCUCACUUAAGUUUCUGACGUCCCCGUCAGAAUCCGAUCACACACACAACCCAAAGAUCUUUGCCUCUCUAGCCAUUAUGGAAAAAUAUCGGCUGGCUUCGUGUCCCCACCUCCGGACCUUCAUCUCUCCAUUGUGGGAUAAUACCAUCAGCCUUCGUGUCCCCACCUCUGGCAACCCGAUCGGAUGACCCGACCCGAGCUUUCGAGAGUUAGCUUUGAUACCAUCUCUGUAACACCCCCUUCCCGAAAAGGAAAGGGAGGUCACGUGCAAAACACAACAAACCUCAAAAAUAAGUAAGUAUGGCACUAAUAACUUCAAAAUAUUAAUAGUGAUAUCCAUCAAUGAAGUACUAAAUACAAUUCUCCAAAUAGAGUCAAAAUAACCAAAACCAAAAUUUGAAACAACCUAGAUGGUCAAAGACAACUCUCUCAUCACACUAGCCCUGAAUCAGCCCUGCAAACCUGCAGGAAGAAAAACACAGCAUGAGCCAAUUGCCUAGUACGGAUACAUAUAUACAAAAGAUAUACAACUGAUAUACGAAAACAACUGAGACAAAAUACUGAACAAAGCCUCAAGUGUAAAUACUGACGAAAAUAUAUUCUCCAAAAAUCUUAAUGGAAUAUAUCUGAAUCAACAGAAUUGACGAAACCAAUAGAAGAAUAAAUAAAUAACGAACUGAAGUAACUAACUCAAUGAAUUGAACUUAACAGAAACAAACAAAACUAAUGCAAUGAAAUAAUAGGCUGAAUCAAAUGGUUCGGUGUUAUUUCAUACCGAUAUUGAGCUCAGAAAUAUACAUUGCCACAUAGGCAAGUCAAAACAAUGCCACACAGGCAAGUCAAAAUAAUGCCACACAGGCAAGUCAAAAUAAUGCCACACAGGCAAGUCACACACAUUGGACCGCCAAUCCAAACGUAUGCAAAUCGGAUAGGUAUGUUUUGCACAACAUCACAUAUCCGCAGAACAGAAAAAUAGGGUUAACCCAAACACCUCCCACAACAAAACACCAAAUGGCCCACUUCCUCCGGAGCCCAAAACCGAGACGCCGUGGACUAAUCACACCGCCAUGGAAAGUGUCAUGCCUCUCGUGCCAAAACGACAUGCCUGUGGUACCCCCUCAGGUGGUUAUAGCUCAGGUAUACCCUACGGUAUAUUCUAACAAAAAUACUAUGUCACAACACAUGCGACAUAAUACCAACAAAAGGGUUCUAUAUAUACAUGUUGAACCAAAUCAAAUUAUAGUCACAAGGUCUCAAAAAGAAGGUAGUAACAUGUACCACUCUACAAUUAUCAAAAAUAAAUAUUAAACAUGAUAUCCUAAUUCAAAGAGUACAAAUACGGGUCAUGUGUAUCAACUCCAAAAUGAAACUAAUAUAUUUAUUUCACAGGAAACAAUUAUGUGAAAUCAUAAUUCAAAAUAAGGAAACAAACGAACAAAUCAAAUUUAACAAGAGUAUCGCUGAAAGAGUACGGAAUCCGUACCUGAAUAUAAUACCGAAAUAAUUUACCGAAUCCAAAUAUCAUCUGCUAGACCUUCUCAAUCCGAUCUAUAUAAUUAUCAAAAUAAAAUAUAAUACAUAUAAUUAAAUUAUGAACUUAUACAAUUUUAAUUUUCAUAAAUUCAAUAAUUUUAAUAUAUUAUAUUUAAUUUGUACUCAAAAGAUAUAUUUUAAUUAUAAUAAUAAUAUUAUAAUAUUAUUUAUUACUAUCCCAUUUUAGAGCUUCUUUAUAUCUUAUAUUGACUUGCAACUUAUAUUAUAUAACUGUGACGCCCCCAAAAUUGGUAUACAUCACCCAUCUUGAGUCGCCAAAUAUAUGGUACAAAAUUUAAAUACAACUUAAUAAUACAACUGUCGUGUAGAAUACGACAAGACAUAACUGAGAGUUUUAAUAAGAAUAUUGUCAUCUAGACAAUAUCCACACUCAAUGGAGUCCUCAUUACAUUUAUUGUCACACUAUUUAACAGAAUAGUGAGGACUACUAAUGCUAUCAUCUGGACCGUCACUCCGUUCCUCGACUAGUCCCGGCUACGUUCUCAUUUCCUGAAGAGAACAGUGAAAGAAAGGGUGAGCUCAACUAGCCCAGUAAGAAAUAUUAUGACUAAGAUAAUGCAGAAUAAAUUAUCAUUAGUCUUCAACAAUGUUAAACUGAUAAAAUACAAUAGACAUCAAGUUUAACUGCAGCGGAAUAAGCAAUCCAUUAGAAGAGUCAAGUAGAGCAUGAUAUCUACUAUCUUCUAUGAUUUAAAAUGUUUUCAUCAAUUUUUAUCGCUGAGACUCAGCUUAAUAAAUAAACCACAUCAUCGAGUCAUCCCUGCACUACGGGCCAAGGAUAUUCAUUAAAUCAUCAAUGGUCAUGACUAUACCGAAUAAUCCCUGGUCAUAAUCAUACCAAAAACUGUCCAUCAAUGCACUACAGGCCACUGAGGACUUUUACCACAUCAUUUAUAACAUUACAGGUCAUGAUUAUACCGAAUAAUCCCUGGUCAUAAUCAUACCAAGUCCAUCUAUGCACGUAAGCCAAAGAUGACUUUAAAUGACUUUCAACAUAUUAUAAACAUGAGGAUGAUGACAAGUCAAUAAAAACAAGUUCAAGAAUAAAUUUUAAAGAUUUAUAAGUUAAUUUAUCCUGAACUCAAUAAUGUCCAAAUUGUCAACAUGAUACUGCUUUGUGGAGUAAAAUUUAAGAAUGCUCAGAAGAAUAUUUCCAUGAAAAGAUACUGGAUGAAGCGCAAAUAUCAAGGAUAUUCCACUAAUUUCAUGGAGUAUAGAAGCCAAAACUUUAAUCAAUUGAGUAUAAUAGAAUAUAUGAAACCGCAAAUGGAUUUUUGCUGCCAUGCGGUAAUCCACGUAGACAGAUUAUUCCAACGGAAUAAUAAAGAAUGGAAUAACAGAAGAAUUCACCAGGCGUGCGUAAUCCGCACAGACAGGUUAUUCUAACAGAAUAAUAAAGAAUGAAACCAGGUCAUGCGUAACCCGAACAAAUAGGAUAUUCCAACAGAAUAAUAAAGAAUGGAACCAGGUCAUGCGUAAUCCGCACAGACAGGAUAUUCCAACAGAAUAAUAAAGAAUUGAACCAGGUCAUGCGUAAUCCGCACAGACAGGAUGUUCCAACAGAAUAAUAAAGAAUGGAAUAACAAUAGAAUUCACCAGGAAUGCGAUAGACCGUACAGACAGGUUAUUCCAACAGAAUAAUAAAGAAUGGAAUAACAGAAAAAUUUCACCAUGUAUGCGAUACUUCGCAUAGACAGGUUAUUCCAACAUAAUAAUAAAGAAUGGAAUAACAACCCUUACGAGUAUUGAAAGAAAAUAACUCUCUUCAUGAAUACGAAAGAAUAAUACCCUUUACCUUAAAAAGAAGAGUAUUCCGACUGGUAGGGCGAUGAUAUUCUUGAAGAAAACUUAUACUGUUUUCUACGCUCAAACCUUCUUAAAACUCUAAAGAAAUACGUUCAAGAUUAUAGAAGAAGAAUUCUCUGAAUUUCUGGUGUGUUUUUCAAUUCUAACUAAGCAUCCUAUUUAUAGAAGAAUGAAAAGGAUAUUAUGCUACAUUAUACAAUAAAAUAUAAUAUAUUCUAUUUAUAAUCAAAUAAAACAAAACUUUAUAAAAAGUAUUCUAUUUUAUAUAAAAAGUUUUUACUAUGCAAACACUAUGCAUAAUAAAAUAUAAUAUAUAUUCUAUUUAAAAUCUAAUAAAACAAAUAACUUUAUAAAAGUAUUCUGUUUUAUAUAAAAAGAUUUUACUAUGCAAAUACUAUGCAUAAUAAAAUAUAAUAUAUUCUAUUUAAAAUCUAAUAAAACAAAUAACUUUAUAAAAGUAUUCUAUUUUAUAUAAAAAGUUUUCUGUUUUAUUACAUUUAUAAUAAUAAUAAAAAAAACUUUAUCAUAAUUAUUAUAAUUCACAAUAUUAAUCAAUGAGGUCGUUCCUAGGAAAGAGGGGGCUUUCCAAUAAGGAUUUCUCCCUAUUUGCGUGCAAUUAAGUGACCAAACCUUUCCUUGACAGAACUUCUAGACAUCGUUAAUAUUGCAAAUAAUAAUAUUAAUAACUUUGUCAUCUCAACUAUUGAUUUAAUAAUAUAUAAAAUAUUGACAAUAAUUGAAUCAAAUAACAUGAGAUACUAUGCAACAAUUACUGCAGUAAUAAUUGAACAAAACUGAGUGACUUCUCACGUAAGCAUCAAUAAUCAAUACCGUGUGCUACUAUGCAACCACGCGUAUUACUGUACUUUUAACACCGGGUGUUUCAAUAGUUAACGAUAAAACUUUCGCCAUUAUUUUCAUAAAAUAUUUUUAUCGUUUUCUCAAUCCGGCAAUAAUUCCGUUAUGGGGUCCACCAAUGAUUGUGUCGUUGUACGAAUAUUCCCUGUUAAAACGAAUAUUCCCCAACCAAUCGAAUAUUAUAUAAUAACUUGCAUACUUUGCAAAAUUUAUAAAUAUUACCCACAACUAUAACAUUAUAUCAAAUUCAUUCCAUAAUAUUCAAAAAUGAUAUUUAUAGAAAAUUCAUCUUUAUUCAUAAAAUUUGGGGUCUUACAAUAACUAUAAGUUAUAUUAAAAUAAUCUAAUAUAUUAUAUAACUCCUAUAAUACACUACACCAAAAAUGGCCUCUAGUGAAGGACAAAUCCUUCACUAAAGGCCCUAUAUCUCUCACAAGUGAUUUAUUGCGAAGAAAUAUUUCCUUCACACGAGUGCUCGCAUUAGACUUCCUCGCAAUUGGGUAUCAUUCGCUAAGUAGUAACUAAAUAUUUUUUGUGAAGGACAUAUUGUGAAUAACUUAUUCCUUCACAAAUUGUAUUUAGUAAUGGAAUAUUGUUAUUUAGUGAAAGAUUGGUUUCCUUCACAAAUAAUAUUUUAAGAAGGACUAUUUGAAAUUAGUGAAAACUUGAUUCCCUCACAAAUAAUAUAUUGUGAAGAACAAAUUUAUUUAAUGAGAGAAUAUUUUCCUUCACUAAUUAUAAAUUGAGAAUCUUUUUUCAAAUUAGUGAGAUAAAAAUUCCUUCACAAAUUAUAAAAUUGUAAAUAAAAAAUUAAUUGCUAAAUAAUCAAAAUUCAUUGAAAAUUAUAAUUAAUUUUCAAAUCAAUGAUUUCAUAUUUAUUAUUAUUAUUAUUAUUUUUAGUAAUUGCUAUAAUAAAUAUUAAAUUUAAUAUUUCAAGUAAAUAUAAAUAUAUUCAUUUUUGUUUCAAACUAAUACAUAAAGAGCUAAUAAAAUCAAUACUCAACAUAUAAAUAAAUAAUGGUAGUCACAAUAACAACAAAAUUUAUUAUUGUAUCUUGAUCUCCUAAGGACCAUAGUACCUACAAUAUUUAUUAAGUAACAUAAAAAAACUGAAAGAACAAGAAGUAGAAUCUAAAUUUCAGAUACAACAAUGAUGUUCAUGAGUUUCUCAUACGACUGACACUGAAAAGUCAUCUUAAAUAUACUAUUCCAAAAACAUAAAUCCAUUAGAGAUUGAUCAUGAUCAAAAGGAACGAUACUUAGCAGUGUCAGUAUCCUUAACUACAAGUUGCAGAGCACGUUUAAUUGUUAACCAAUUGCUUUUUGACUCCUGCAAGGCAAAGUGGAGUCAAAUAAAUUAUAAUCAAUGAAGCCUACUUAUAAUAAACUGAAGCAGCUUUAUUGAUAAAUUCCUCCCGAAUUAAAAAAGAACUGAAUUGUUUCCUAAGCAAUCCAGCUGUUUCUAAGUUACUCAAGAGUAGUCAUGUGCUCAAAACCAUAGCUGUGAAGAAGCUCUCUCCUAAACCAUGAAUUUAAUAUAUAAAAGGAUCAAGAGGAUAUUAAAAUUUUCAAUAAAAUAAAAUAGGCAAAUGAAUUUACCAAGUUAGGUACCUAACAAGAAGGAAAAAGUUACUGUAUUCUUUCCCAUACUUGCCUCAAAUAGUCAAAAUUCUAUUUGGGUAACCCAGAAUUUGUAUCGGAAAAUAAAAUGAGAAGACGUAAGACAUUGACAAGAAGCUCCUGCUUAUGAAUCAUUUCUUCAAUGUACUCGAAGCAUCUGCACCAUAGACAUCAUUAGUCCCUUGCUCUGAUACUUUUGGCAUCCACAAGAACAAGGAUAAUAUAAGCAAGUAUGUACAUUUAGAUGCCUAUCUUUUGAAGCAAAACAUUCUAACAAAACCAUGUUUUUGUAUCUCUGAGUAAAUUUUUACAUCAUAAAAGAUAUCUUAUAAAGUUGCCUUAUUUUUUGUUAUCACAUAAUUUAAAGAGAUCCCCNNNNNNNNNNNNNNNNNNNNNNNNNNNNNNNNNNNNNNNNNNNNNNNNNNNNNNNNNNNNNNNNNNNNNNNNNNNNNNNNNNNNNNNNNNNNNNNNNNNNNNNNNNNNNNNNNNNNNNNNNNNNNNNNNNNNNNNNNNNNNNNNNNNNNNNNNNNNNNNNNNNNNNNNNNNNNNNNNNNNNNNNNNNNNNNNNNNNNNNNNNNNNNNNNNNNNNNNNNNNNNNNNNNNNNNNNNNNNNNNNNNNNNNNNNNNNNNNNNNNNNNNNNNNNNNNNNNNNNNNNNNNNNNNNNNNNNNNNNNNNNNNNNNNNNNNNNNNNNNNNNNNNNNNNNNNNNNNNNNNNNNNNNNNNNNNNNNNNNNNNNNNNNNNNNNNNNNNNNNNNNNNNNNNNNNNNNNNNNNNNNNNNNNNNNNNNNNNNNNNNNNNNNNNNNNNNNNNNNNNNNNNNNNNNNNNNNNNNNNNNNNNNNNNNNNNNNNNNNNNNNNNNNNNNNNNNNNNNNNNNNNNNNNNNNNNNNNNNNNNNNNNNNNNNNNNNNNNNNNNNNNNNNNNNNNNNNNNNNNNNNNNNNNNNNNNNNNNNNNNNNNNNNNNNNNNNNNNNNNNNNNNNNNNNNNNNNNNNNNNNNNNNNNNNNNNNNNNNNNNNNNNNNNNNNNNNNNNNNNNNNNNNNNNNNNNNNNNNNNNNNNNNNNNNNNNNNNNNNNNNNNNNNNNNNNNNNNNNNNNNNNNNNNNNNNNNNNNNNNNNNNNNNNNNNNNNNNNNNNNNNNNNNNNUCUGAUAGAUAUGAAUUUUGAAAAGUGGCAUGCUACUUGAUUGCUAAAAACUUGAAUCCUAUUCAGACACAAUCACCAUGAGGAUGACAAUUUUUCUGGACACCACAGAGUACAUGCCUCUCCUACCUCAACCUUCAGUAAAUAAGAAAGCUCAAGGCUUUGGAUCAAAAAUCUAAAAUCUAAAAACAUUUAUAUAAAUAUUAUGAAAGGGGCACUUAAAGAAGGUCGAGAAAUCAUCUUCCUAUAAUAGUGGCAUAGUUCUGGUUGAAAUAGUAAUAAGAGCUCACUAUAUCAAGUGUGACUCUAUAUGUUUUAACUAUGAGGGCAAUCAUAGUUUGCAAUUUUGCAUAUUUAGGGAUUUCUAACAGUCUAAACUACCUCCCAAUGCUCGUCAGGAGAAAUGCUAAUUGAAAGUUAUUUUACAAGGGGAAAACCCGACAGCUACACUGCAAUACAGAAUCUGUCAUCAAAUUGAUCAACAAGGGUCAAGGAAACAACUUCUGCCAAAUGAUAAGACUUCAUAACAAAUAAUCAUAUAAUCUUUUCUAACCAGCAAAGAUGUUGAUAUAAGGAAAAGCCAUUAUCCAGUAUAAUUGUCUGGAACAUUUACCGGAGAUCCUGACUGGAAAAAUUUUGUAUAGUGAUUUUUCUGUGCAAUGAUUACAACAAACUUUGGGCACCAUUUCUCAUCAAGGAACUUGCAGUCCUGUAUAAUUUAAAUAGAAGGGUGUACAAUUGCAUAUUUCCUUAUAAUACAAAAGAAAAAACAAGGAGCUGCAAUUUGGGAAAAUCAAGGCAGCCACCCAAUUUGUACUAGUGCUGGCAAGAGAAAAUGAGUAGAUUAAAUGGCCCUGGGUAUGAUUUUGAGGGUUUAGAAAACAAAAGAAUGCCGAGUUAUGUGCAUCCAAAGCUUAGGCAAAUUCGUUCGUGUAUACUUACUGUAUGGUGAGAGUUUUUAGUCUGGCUAUUUGGAGAAUAAACUUCUUGGCCACCGUAGUAGAUUGAUGAGCUGAAAUAGCAUGGUUCUGCUGUUUCAUUUUGGUAAGUGAUGCUCCUGUCUUUGUUGUGUUUGCUACCACUUUCACCAUAUAGUUUGACACCUUUUUUCACACCCUAAAAGUGGCUUGUUGUAGAGUAAAUUACAAUUUCUUUUCUGGGCUAACCAAUGUCUGGAAGUUCCAGAAAUUAAAAUUAAUGAAACAGACCUUAAGUCAAGAGCCUUCAAUUGAUUAACUUUUAUGGUAUGAGUAUAAAGAUGAUGAUGAUGAUAUAUAGGUCAAAAGACCCAAAAGCUACAAGCAAUAGAAAAACACACACAUGAAUGUACAACUCGAAAUACUAAAAUUCGUAUAAAAUGCGUUAUUCUCCAUUCCUACUUAAACUGUUCACAUAUACACACACACACAUGAAUGUACAACUAGAAAUAAAACAUUGAAAACAUAAUUCAAAUUGAGAUUCAAAUCGUUUAGCAAAGAGAAACCAUCCUUCCAAAAUAUACCAGGAGGAAACAUAAAAAAAUAGAUUAAGAGCUGAUUUUAGACUAGCAAAAGAAAGGAACUAAUUUGGGCAAUAAUGUUUUCUUCUUAAUUUUUUCAGAGUCAAAUUUACAAAAUCCUGACAUUCAAGACUGAUUUUAGUUUAUUUGAUUUUGAUUAAUAUAAUAAUCAAUAUUGGAAACUAUUUAAGAAGUACCAAGUACAAAAUCUCAUUUUGAAAAUCCAAAUAAAUUCAAAUUACAAUUUGAAUUUUAAGAUUUCACAAUUUGGUAACAUCAACAAAGGGAGUACAAGAAAUAUCUCAAUGCAUUGAAUAACAAAAAUUUAUAAAACACAUUACACAAAUGAAUAUAUAGAGAGACAAAGUGAGAAGGGCAUGCCUGGAAACCAUUGCGAUUCAACUGUUUAAUAGCAACAUCCAAUUUCAAAUCAUUAUCAUCCGAAACCCUAACUUCUCCUCUGUAAACGGAACCAAACCCUCCCUCUCGAAUCUAAGCUCAGGGACCGAACCCAGGACACCUUGGACGACCUCAAAACGACGACGUCAUCGUCGUCUCUCGCCUCUUCGUUGGUGAAAUGAAAGCACUUCAUAGUAAUUGAACGGAAGAUAAACAGAUCCGUAACGAAUUUUUUGAAAUGAACAUGAAGAAUUCUGUAAAAAUAAUUGAAGCAAAGCCUGGGCAAAAUGAAGCAAAAGCUUGGGCAAACCCUAGGAGAGAGAAUCACAGAAAAUGGAAGGGAGGAGAGUAGAGAAUCGGAGCAAAUGGAACCGUGUUUGGGAGGAGAGAAGAGUAGAGCCCUUAUGCGUGAGUUUUGAUUUGGGAGGAGAGAGCUGGAUCCGUGUUUUGAUUUUAGAACAAAUAGCUUAAUACGACGUCAUUUUGAUAUACUGUGUAAACAAAAAGUUUACAAGGCUGUAUAGUGAGUAAUAAUUCCUUCACUAAAUAGAUUUUUUCCUCGCAAAUUUUCAUCAUAAAUUGGCUCCAAAAAUCUUUCUAUCGCCCCAAUUUUGCGAAGAAAAAAAUAUAAAUUGUGAAGGAUAUUUCUUUCGCUAAUAACUAUAUUGUCAGUAUACUUUUUUCCUUCACUGUUCCUUCGCUAAACAACUCCUCGUGUGAAGGAAUAAAUUCCUUCACAAAAUUUCCUUCGCUACAUCCCUAUUUUGGUGUAGUGAUAUAUAAAGGCUAAACCAUGUAUGAAGACAUACUCCUAACAAAAG